rnacentral:lncRNA from 14 species
CCUGCUACCAGAGGGCUUCUUGCAGAAACCCCAUGCAUCUCACAAGCCUCCUGCCUUCAGCAGAGGGCAGUGAACUUGCACGCACACCACCACCUCCUCCACAUUGGGUCUUGUCAUCUCAGCGCAGAUCAUCUGAUGGUCACAGAAACUGAUGGAGAACGGGUUAAUGCCUCGUCCAUUGGCGGCAGACAGGAUGUAUGAGGCUGUUUCUUCCCUUGGAAGAUGCACAGACCCUACAGAACAGCACUCAGCUGAAUUACUCCUUAGCUCAGCAGAUUCAAAGGCACUGACAACUUUUUAAAGAAUACUUUAAAACAGGAAUGUUCUUUUGUAUUUUACCUUUUCAUCAAAGUCUUCAGACUUUACCAGGAUGGAAAGGCAAAGGAUGCAUCAGGGGAUGGCCUUUGACAGCGAGCUGGGAAGGGAGCUCCAGCACUGCCUCGUUGCAAACAGGAGCUGGCCUGGCACAGCCUCUGGAAUCCAUGCUCCUCUCUGAGCCUGCAGACAUGAAGGUGUCCCACAUCCAGGGCAGUGGAAGUCUCGGUGCUUUUAGCAGGUUGAUCCCACAUGAGACAUCCACCAUCCACAGAGCAUCCGUGGCCGAAUCAACAAGUGAAUCCAAAUCAUUCAGCUUCCUCCCUAUUAGCAGGUAAUUGGUGGCAUCCUGGCCUCUCAGGCACCAGACGGUUCCUCAUAAAACAUUCAGAUUGGAGUUAUCCAAAGAGGAAAAUGAGGAGGGAGGGAUUUUUCCACCUGAUGGACGUGGCAUGUAAUUAUGGCAGGCAUAUCCCGAUGCUUUGUCUGUGCUGCUCGCUGCGGCGAUGCCGAAGAAUUCCUUGAUAUUCAAGAAGUGCCCUGACCAAGUCAGGUUUCCAUAAUAUGAUUACAUUAUGAAAUUCUAUUUCACGCCUGCAUAUUAUAGCGUGCACAGCAGCACUUUCAUCACGCAUCAGAGCGUAGUUUGCUCCGCUCUGAUACCACUCACCAGAGGAUGUCUACAAAUGGAAUUAUUUCAGGAUAGUUAUCCUAAAUAACUCCGUGUAGGGAAACCUGUAUUGUAGCACAAAAGCACCUUGCUCUCCUUUAUCGUAAUCCAUUUUAAAUGUGGAUUAUGCUGAUGCAGAACAGGGCACUCCUAUUUUGGAAUAGUUUUAAAUAGGAAUAGGUUUUGUGCUUUUGGCUCACACCCUGCAUUAUCCAAAACAGCUUUGAAGUGUAAACAAGCCUCUAAUGUGCCUCUAUUUCCAUUCUGCUCCCUGGCUCCUCCUUGUUCCCUGGUUCUUCCUUUGGGAAGAUCCAAAGCAAAACCAGACCUGCAGAGCCUGUCAUUUAGGUCUUUGCUUUCCCAAACUUCAUACCAAGGGACAUCACCAAUCUGAUUCCCAACUUAAAUGCAUCCCCAAGCUUCUGAAGGGAGAAUUGAGAUGCAGGUUUCUGACUCUGUGCCAUCCCCACAAAUUAAACCAGUACCUGUUUCCUUUCACACUUUUCUAACCUCCUGUGGGACAGUUUGGGGUUUUUCUCUGUUAUCAUCAGCCUAUUCUGCAGCCUGCAGAGAAAACUGAGGGCUACGACUCUGAGAAAGGUCCAAAGCUUCAAGGCCAGGUUGGACACAGGGGCUUGGAGCAGCUGCUCUAGUGGAAGGGGUUGGGGUUGGAGCUGGAUGAGCUCUUAGGUCCCUUAACCCAAACCAUUUGAUGAUUCUCUGCAACAGAGCAGCUGACUUGGAGAACCCCAUUGCAUGCACAUUAUUUUGUCUGCUAAUUUAUCACUCAUUGUCUUGAUAGGUCCUCCUGUAGCCCUUUGCAGACAGGUUCUGAUUUGCCUAUCCUGAGUGAUGCUGGCACAUCUGCAGACACACAGGUCACUUCAUCCCCAGCAUCACCAGAGGCACCGGCUGCCGUGGCUGGGGAGAUGAGGGCACUCAGGCCAGCUCCUGUCAUUCCUUCUCUGUGACUGCACAGACCAAACAUCAGGCAGGGAGGAGGCUGUUCCUUAAAUCUAUGUGGUAUUUCAAGGUACAGCCACAGGGGCAGAAGGCUCCUGGUUCACAAAGACGAUGGAGGGGCUUGCUUCAAAUAAAAAGAGGUUUAUUAAGGUAAUGAGAAUGACA